rnacentral:lncRNA from 1 species
GAAAGUGUGAGUGGAGGCCACUGGCGCCCCAUGCAGGAUGUUCCCUAACUAGCAUCGCACCCUGUGCCUCUGGGAUAGGCUCCGGACUGCCGCGACCCUGACUUGGACACGUGGUCAACAAAGGUCUGUGACCAAGUGAUCCGUAGUUAAAUACUUCACAUGGCUUCUAGAUUAAAAACUGCAAAUACACAGACAUGAAACGUGGCGUGACAAUAAGCAGAUGUGCGUAAAGCUGCUGCAUUAAAGCCAAAUGAUGUAUUGUGAUCCCACAAAAUUUUUUUUGCCUUUUUCUGAAGCUAAGAGAGGGAUUUUACAAAAGGUCGGCACACGUGUGAGUGAAACAUUUUUAGCCUUUCUUUUUAAACCGUUUGUGCUCAGUUAAGAAUGAGAGGACUCGCGUAAACUACGCUUAGAUGUUUUCUAAAUGCAUCUUUUGACGACACUGAUUUAAAUGGUGCGGUGGAAAAUGCAGUGGAAAAUACGAGUGGGUGGCUGGGGGGGGUCAAUGGCCCCCCGCACAGUGCUGAGAAAUAGCUGUUGCCACAGGCUGAAGCCGAGGAUGUGGGCAGAGGGAGCACUCGGGGCAACGGAAUUUUACCGGGCCGAUCGAAGUUAUGGGCGAAAACCAAGCGGUGGAACGACCUCCCCCUCCUACUCAGAACUGCUGAAUCCCUGACCGCAUUUAAAAAGGGUCUUAAACCUCACCUCUUCCAGACUCACUUCGCCCAUCAUCUCUUAAGUUCAUGUAAGGUGUAAAUGUUCAUGCUCCAUAGCUUUAAGAUCAUGCCCAGAUAAAUAAAUAUAUACAUACACACA